rnacentral:lncRNA from 1 species
UCAUUGCAGCCAUUUUUUGGAGGGGGAUUUAUUUGUAUUUUUCACAUUUUAUUAUUAAAAGAAUAAAAACUAACAUAACAAAGAAAUUCUUUUUCCCUCCCCUUCUUUUUCUCUCUCCCUGCCACCCUUUUCUCUCUUCUCCUCCUCCCUACCCCCCCAUUUCCGCCGCCACUUGCCACCUCCUCCAGCCAUCGCAGGUUCCUCCCCUCUCACAUUUCUUGUCGGCGCCGUCUCUCUCUCCCUCCCCCUUGUCGUUCCUUGCCUCAACAAGGAAGAAAAGUCGAUUCACCUUGCUGCCGCCGCCGAACAGCCUCAUGCCGGCGUCUCUUCGCCGAUCUGACGCCGAAAAUGGACUACGGGACCCUGAAAACCUCAAGGCAGCCCUUCCCUACCGAUUUCCCUCCGCCGACAGUAGUAGGUGAGCCUUGCUGGAGCCGAAACUUUCUAGCCUCAAUACAGUGACUUCCGGCAAGUUUCAGGCGAAGAAAUUUGCAUAUUUGGACUCCCUGCAACUCAUUCUUCGAAUAGGCGCCUCUAGAUUCGAAAUUUGACAGUGUUGGCGGUACCAACUUUUAGACUCCAGUGUUUUCUGAACGCACAAAGUUCGGAUUUCGGCUUAGACUUUGAAAAUUAUUAGAAAAUGUUCGGUUAUUAAUUGUUAGUUAUAAUUAAUUAAUUAGUAGUUUAUUUUUAGAAUUACUGGAUAUUAAUUACAGGAGUUAGUAUUUUAUUAUGUAAAUUGAGGCUGUGAUUAAUUAAAUUAAAUAUAAAAAAAAUAUGUCUGAUGUAUCAUAAAAUAAUAUUAUUUUGCCGGACUAUUAAUUUUUGUAUUGUGAUUUGAGUUGUAUUGCGGAGUCGGAAAAUAAUGCAGCUUUGAAGGUUCGACUUUCGUUAAAUAAUUGUG